AUAACGGCGUCGAGCGGCGGACGGGUGAGUAAUGCCUAGGAAAUUGCCCUGAUGUGGCUGGAUAACCUCCUUAUACCGAAUAAUCCCUUGUACCUCCUGGUACGGCUCUGAAAGACGGUUUCGGCUGUCACUACGACAUGGGCCCGCGGCGCAUUAUCUAGUUGGUAAGGUAACGGCUUACCACGGCAACGAUGCGUAUCCAACCUGAGAGGGUGAUCGGCCACACUGGGACUGAGACACGGCCCCUACUCCUACCGGAGGCAGCAAAUUGGAAUCUUCCGCAAUGGACCAGAGUCUGAUGGACCAACGGCACGAGAGUGAACAAGGUUUUCGGAUCUUAUUAUUCUGUUGUAAAGGAAGAACCAGUACGUGAGUAACUGCGCGUACCUUGACGGUACCUUAUUAGAAAGCCACGGCUAACUACGUGCCAGCAGCCGCGGUAAUACGUAAGUGGCAAGCGUUGUCCGGUAUUAUUGGGCGUAGAGCGCGCGCAUGCGGUCCUUUAAGUCUGAUGUGAAAGCCCACGGCUCAACCGUGGAUGGUCAUUGGACACUGGGGGACUUGAGUGAAGGAGAGGUUAGUGGAAUUCCAAGUGUAACGUUGAUAUGCGUAUAGAUGUGGAGGAACACCAGUGGCGAACGCGACUAACUGGACUGUAACUGACACUGAAGCGCGAAAGCGUGAGGAGCAAACAGGAUUAGAUACCCUGGUAGUCCACGCCGAUGACGAUGAGUGCUAAGUGUUAUGGGGUUUCCGCCCCUUAGUGCUGC
rnacentral:rRNA from 1 species